AUUGAACGCUGGCGGCAUGCCUUACACAUGCAAGUCGAACGGCAGCACGGGUUCUUGCACCUGGUGGCUAGUGGCGAACGGGGGAGUAAUACAUCGGAACAUGUCCUGUAGUGGGGGGUAGCCCUGCGACAGCCGGAUUAAUACCGCAUACUAUCUACUGAUGAAAGCGGGGGACCUUCGUGCCUCGCGCUAUAGGGUUGGCCGAGGUCUGAUUAGCUAGCUGGUGGGGUAAAGGCCUACCAAGGCGACGAUCAGUAGCGGUUCUGAGAGGACGACCAGCCACACUGGGACUGAGACACGGCCCAGACUCCUACGGGAGGCAGCAGUGGGGAAUUUUGGACAAUGGGCGAAAGCCUGAUGCAGCAAUGCCGCGUGUGUGAAGAAGGCCUUCGGGUUGUAAAGCACUUUUGUCCGGAAAGAAAUACUUGGCCAUAAUACGGUCGGGGGAUGACGGUACCGGAAGAAUAAGCACCGGCUAACUACGUG
rnacentral:rRNA from 1 species